rnacentral:rRNA from 1 species
UGGGGAAUAUUGCACAAUGGGGGAAACCCUGAUGCAGCAACGCCGCGUGAGUGAUGACGGCCUUCGGGUUGUAAAGCUCUGUCUUCAGGGACGAUAGUGACGGUACCUGAGGAGGAAGCCACGGCUAACUACGUGCCAGCAGCCGCGGUAAUACGUAGGUGGCAGGCGUUGUCCGGAUUUACUGGGCGUAAAGGGAGCGUAGGCGGACUUUUAAGUGAGAUGUGAAAUACCCGGGCUCAACCUGGGUGCUGCAUUUCAAACUGGAAGUCUAGAGUGCAGGAGAGGAGAGUGGAAUUCCUCGGGUAGCGGUGAAAUGCGUAGAGAUUAGGAAGAACACCAGUGGCGAAGGCGACUCUCUGGACUGUAACUGACGCUGAGGCUCGAAAGCGUGGGGAGCAAACA